GUCUCCAAGAUGGCCGCUUGGGGAAGGAGGCGUCUUGGCCCGGGCAGCAGUGGCGGCAGCGCCCGAGAGAGGGAACCAACAGUGUUUGUAAUGAAGAACAUCAGACUCUGAGCUGUAACCUGAAUUCUUGUCCAAAAUUCAGCACACUGGCAACGAGCACAUCAAACAGAUUGCCACUUGUCCUGUCGGCGUCUUUGAGACACACUUGCCCAUCUAGGAAAGCACAGUGCAGGUAUCUGUGUUCUGCCACCGUGUGCCAGCCCGGACCAGCUCACAGACAGCCCCGCCUGUCUUACUUGGGCUGCUCGGCUUCACUCUCUCAGGGCCCCUGAACCUCCCUCAGCCCUCCGUGAUUGUUGGAAUGGUGAGCUUGUCGGCCACAGACUGCUACAUUGUGCAUGAGAUCUACAAUGGGGAGAAUGCCCAAGACCAGUUUGAGUACGAGCUGGAGCAGGCCCUGGAAGCCCAGUACAAGUACAUUGUGAUUGAGCCCACUCGCAUCGGCGACGAGACGGCCCGCUGGAUCACCGUGGGCAACUGCCUGCACAAGACGGCCGUGCUGGCGGGCACCGCCUGCCUCUUCACCCCGUUGGCGCUGCCCUUAGAUUAUUCCCACUACAUUUCCCUGCCCGCUGGUGUGCUGAGCCUGGCCUGCUGCACCCUCUAUGGGAUCUCCUGGCAGUUUGACCCUUGCUGCAAGUACCAAGUGGAGUACGACGCCUAUAAACUGUCGCGCCUGCCUCUGCACACACUCACCUCCUCCACCCCGGUGGUGCUGGUCCGGAAGGACGACCUGCACAGAAAGAGACUGCACAACACGAUAGCACUGGCCGCCCUGGUGUACUGUGUAAAGAAGAUUUACGAACUCUAUGCCGUAUGAUUUCAGUAGAACAGGGAGCGAAGCAAAACCACCCGGCCCACAAGAGACAACAGAGUAUUCAGAUCGCCACACUCUGUGAGGCAGCAGAGCCUGGGAAGGUGUUUGGCUUAAUAUUUGUUAUUUUUAAAAAAUAACAGAUCACGGGUGUACCCAGGGUUUUUCAGCUCAUUACACUAAGAUGUGGAUUUCCAUAACCCAAGAAGGGGGUCUGAGGCUGUGGAAGUCCGACUGGGCAGUGGAAUGCUGAUGGAGGCAGACGCUGCCGAGGGGGUGUGGACGUGCUUUGGGGGAGGUCUUUAAGUCUAUUGUUUAACUGUACCAUCCAGAGCCCACCAGAAGCUAUUGACCAUUAAAAUUAUGAGAAUU
rnacentral:sRNA from 1 species